CUCAGUGCCGUAACUCUUCUGUUCUGGGCGAUACCAAGUUCAAUUUUAACGAAGCUCUUUUAGUUCCAAGAAACAGACACAGCCAGACCAGUCUGAAAAUUUUUAUUUUCUGAAAAAUGUAACUUGUAAGAACACACGUAGAGCAAAAGGGAGAAACUUGGAAAUUUUUACGCAAAAAACACCUAAGUAAAACCAUUCUUGAAAGGACACAUGAACAAAUUGAACCAGUCAGAGGGGAAAGAUCAGGAUGAUGAAGUGACUCAGAAAUCAGGCUUGUAUGAAGUUGCUGAUAUCCUGUACUCAGAGCCCACUUCACGUUAAUGGAAACUAGAAUAAUUUUUAAAAACAACUUAAAUGAAAGAACUGUAAGUUUUGAUGUUAUAAGUGCUUCUCUCAAGAUGUUUUCAAGUCUUCUCUAAGGACAAGUAACAAUACACUUCAUCUACAAGAGUUUCCAAUAUUUUUAGUGUAACCAGUAACAGUGACAGCGACAUAAUGAAAACAAUCAUCUUGAAAAGAAGAACAGAAAUUUGUAAAGAAUAUGUGUUUUCUUCUAUUUAA
rnacentral:lncRNA from 1 species